rnacentral:rRNA from 1 species
AGCGAACGCUGGCGGCAGGCCUAACACAUGCAAGUUGAACGAACUCUUCGGAGUUAGUGGCGGACGGGUGAGUAACACGUGGGAACGUGCCUUUAGGUUCGGAAUAACUCAGGGAAACUUGUGCUAAUACCGAAUGUGCCCUUCGGGGGAAAGAUUUAUCGCCUUUAGAGCGGCCCGCGUCUGAUUAGCUAGUUGGUGAGGUAAAGGCUCACCAAGGCGACGAUCAGUAGCUGGUCUGAGAGGAUGAUCAGCCACAUUGGGACUGAGACGCGGCCCAAACUCCUACGGGAGGCAGCAGUGGGGAAUCUUGCGCAAUGGGCGAAAGCCUGACGCAGCCAUGCCGCGUGAAUGAUGAAGGUCUUAGGAUUGUAAAAUUCUUUCACCGGGGACGAUAAUGACGGUACCCGGAGAAGAAGCCCCGGCUAACUUCGUGCCAGCCGCCGCUGUAA